rnacentral:rRNA from 1 species
AGUGGCGGACGGGUGAGUAACGCGUGAGAAUCUGCCUUGGGGUCGGGGACAACCACUGGAAACGGUGGCUAAUACCGGAUAAGCCGAUUGGUGAAAGAUUUAUUGCCCGAAGAGGAGCUCGCGUCUGAUUAGCUAGUUGGUGAGGUAAGAGCUCACCAAGGCAGCGAUCAGUAGCUGGUCUGAGAGGACGAUCAGCCACACUGGGACUGAGACACGGCCCAGACUCCUACGGGAGGCAGCAGUGGGGAAUUUUCCGCAAUGGGCGAAAGCCUGACGGAGCAAGACCGCGUGAGGGAGGAAGGCUCUUGGGUUGUAAACCUCUUUUCUCAGGGAAGAAGCUCUGACGGUACCUGAGGAAUCAGCCUCGGCUAACUCCGUGCCAGCAGCCGCGGUAAUACGGAGGAGGCAAGCGUUAUCCGGAAUUAUUGGGCGUAAAGCGUCCGCAGGUGGCGAUUCAAGUCUGCUGUCAAAGCACGGGGCUUAACUCCGUAAAGGCAGUGGAAACUGAAUAGCUAGAGUGCCGUAGGGGUAGAGGGAAUUCCCGGUGUAGCGGUGAAAUGCGUAGAGAUCGGGAAGAACAUCGGUGGCGAAAGCGCUCUACUGGACGGCAACUGACACUCAGGGACGAAAGCUAGGGCAGCGAAUGGGAUUAGAUACCCC